CGAGAAACGAACGGUGCAAUAUUAUAAUCAUCACCAUAUAGAAGAUACAUGAAAGUGAGUUUCGUACGAAAGACGUAUCUAUUUCACUUUGGAAACAACAAGUUCACCUAAACACCUCGUUUGUCCGUUCUCGUGAAUUUCUCCUCGUGGUCUCAUUAAAAUCGAUUCGUUUCGAGGGUCGCGAGCACGUUCCAGCAACGAGACGCGCUGGUGAAUCCGCCGUAAAGUUCCUCGUGAGGUCCCGUUGUCCCUGUCUUGAACAUACUUGAUCUGAAGAGUCCAGUCGUCCGAGC